UACGGAGGAUCCGAGCGUUAUCCGGAUUUAUUGGGUUUAAAGGGAGCGUAGGCGGGUUGUUAAGUCAGUUGUGAAAGUUUGCGGCUCAACCGUAAAAUUGCAGCUGAUACUGGCAUCCUUGAGUACAGUAGAGGUAGGCGGAAUUCGUGGUGUAGCGGUGAAAUGCUUAGAUAUCACGAAGAACUCCGAUUGCGAAGGCAGCCUGCUGGACUGUAACUGACGCUGAUGCUCGAAAGUGUGGGUAUCAAACAGG
rnacentral:rRNA from 1 species